UGGCGGACGGGUGAGUAACGCGUGGGGUAACCUGCCUUACACUGGGGGAUAACACUUAGAAAUAGGUGCUAAUACCGCAUAAUGAGAGGAGACGCAUGUCUUCUGUCUGAAAACUCCGGUGGUGUAAGAUGGACCCGCGUCUGAUUAGCCAGUUGGCGGGGUAACGGCCCACCAAAGCGACGAUCAGUAGCCGGCCUGAGAGGGUGAACGGCCACAUUGGGACUGAGACACGGCCCAAACUCCUACGGGAGGCAGCAG
rnacentral:rRNA from 1 species